rnacentral:misc_RNA from 1 species
GAUGAAGAACGCAGCGAAAUGCGAUAAGUAAUGUGAAUUGCAGAAUUCAGUGAAUCAUCGAAUCUUUGAACGCACAUUGCGCCCCUUGGUAUUCCGGGGGGCAUGCCUGUUCGAGCGUCAUUAUAACCCCUCAAGCUCAGCUUGGUGUUGGGGCCUGCCAACUGGCAGCCCUUAAAAUCAGUGGCGGCGCCAUCUGGCUCUAAGCGUAGUAAUUUCUCUCGCUAUAGGGUCCCGGUGGAUGCUUGCCAACAACCCCCAAUUUUCUAUGGUUGACCUCGGAUCAGGUAGGGAUACCCGCUGAACUUAAGCAUAUCAAUAAGCGGAGGA